rnacentral:lncRNA from 1 species
AAAGCAGAGUUGCAUAGAUCAAGGUAUGUGAGAUUCUGAAAGAGGUAUAUUAAAGUCUCAGCAUGAAAGCAUAAAGGCCAUAAUGAAUGCAUUUCAAGAAUGUGAUCUCUUUCAGCAUGUCCACACCCUGCCUUCCACAUGUCACUACAGGAGAGGAGGAUGAGGAAACUGAGGCAUGGAGCAGUCCACGUGAAUGAGUCUCGUAGUAAGUGAUGGAACUAGGAUGCAACUCUCUGGUGUGAGUGCCCCACUCUGAGAGAUGGAAUCUCGCUCUGUCACCAGGCUGGAGUGCAGUGGCAUGAUCUCGGCUCACUGCAACCUCUGCUUCCAGGGUUCAAGCGAUUCUGCUGCCUCAGCCUCCCAAGCAGCUGGGACUACAG